rnacentral:rRNA from 1 species
CCUACGGGUGGCAGCAGUGAGGAAUAUUGGUCAAUGGACGCAAGUCUGAACCAGCCAAGUAGCGUGCAGGAUGACGGCCCUCCGGGUUGUAAACUGCUUUUAGUUGGGAAUAAAAGGGGGCUCGUGAGCCCCGUAUUGUAUGUACCAUCAGAAAAAGGACCGGCUAAUUCCGUGCCAGCAGCCGCGGUAAUACGGAAGGUCCGGGCGUUAUCCGGAUUUAUUGGGCGUAAAGGGAGUGUAGGCGGCAUAUUAAGUUAUGUGCGAAAGCCCGCGGCUCAACCGCGGAAUUGCACAUAAAACUGGUAAGCUGGAGUGCAGGAGAGGUAAGUGGAAUUCCCGGUGUAGCGGUGGAAUGCGUAGAUAUCGGGAGGAACACCAGAGGCGAAGGCGACUUACUGGACUGUAACUGACGCUGAGGCUCGAAAGCGUGGGGAGCAAACAGGAUUAGAUACCCUUGUAGUC